CACAUCUAAGGAAGGCAGCAGGCGCGUAAAUUACCCAAUCCUGAUUCAGGGAGGUAGUGACAAGAAAUAACAACUCGGGGGCUCUUGCCUUUCGAGAUUGCAAUGAGAACAAUUUAAAUCACUUAACGAGGAACAAUUGGAGGGCAAGUCUGGUGCCAGCAGCCGCGGUAAUUCCAGCUCCAAUAGCGUAUAUUAAAGUUGUUGCAGUUAAAAAGCUCGUAGUUGAACUUCUGGUCGGGAAGCGCGUGGCUUCAGUCGCGCGCGGCCCGGUCAUCCGUCGGAAAACUUUAGACGUCCUUAAGUGGUCGCUGGAGGGAUCCGACAUUUUACUUUGAAAAAACUAGAGUGUUCAAGGCAGGCGUUCGCCAUGAAUACACAAGCAUGGAAUAAUGGAAUAGGACUGCGAUCCAUUUUGUUGGUUAUUGGAGCGUAGUAAUGAUUAAUAGGGACAGUUGGGGGCAUUAGUACUUAAUAGUCAGAGGUGAAAUUCUUGGAUUUAUUAAAGACUGACUUAUGCGAAAGCAUUUGCCAAGGACGUUUUCAUUAAUCAAGAACGAAAGUUAGGGGAUCAAAGACGAUCAGAUACCGUC
rnacentral:rRNA from 1 species